rnacentral:rRNA from 1 species
UGAGCAAUCUGCCCUUCUCAUCGGAAUAAGCGUUGGAAACGACGUCUAAUGCCGAAUACGACCUCCUUUCGCAUGAUCGGAGGUGGAAAGCUCCGGCGGAGAAGGAUGAGCUCGNGGCCUAUCAGCUAGUUGGUGUGGGUAAUGGCCCACCAAGGCGACGACGGGUAGCCGGCGUCGAGAGGGUGGACCGGCCCGACCACUGGGACGUGAGACACGGCCCGACGACUCCUACCGGGAGGC